rnacentral:rRNA from 1 species
CAGUCGCCGCGGGAAUACAGAGGGUGCGAGCGUUAAUCGGAUUUACUGGGCGUAAAGCGUGCGUAGGCGGCUUCUUAAGUCGGAUGUGAAAUCCCUGAGCUUAACUUAGGAAUUGCAUUCGAUACUGGGAAGCUAGAGUAUGGGAGAGGAUGGUAGAAUUCCAGGUGUAGCGGUGAAAUGCGUAGAGAUGUGGAGGAAUACCGAUGGCGAAGGCAGCCAUCUGGCCUAAUACUGACGCUGAGGUACGAAAGCAUGGGGAGCAAACAGGAUUAGAUACCCGAGUAGUCCCUGUCUCUUAUAC